CUUUCUCCCUCUCUUGUCGUGGGGGCAUCUUUUGUCGGAGACGGUUUUCCAGUUGAAGAACAUCCGAAUCAAAUUAUUCCGUCCUUUUUCCUAAGAUUCAAAUAUGGUUCUGGUCUUCUGUGGAACCGGUCAUCGUUCAGAGGUAGGUUUCGAACCACAUGUGCUCCGUAAGACAUAAUCCUUGGCCUUGACUAGAGAGAGACUGGAAGCUCUGACAGCGAUAGUUAAAGUGCGAGAUUUUUUUCAUCUGCCGAGGUCAGGUGCUUCGGAUGUCAUCAUGGCCCGUUUUGGCCGCCUUUUGAACGUGUCACCAAUACGGAAAUCUGUUAAUAUUUCUAAACGUGUACAAAUUUAAAUUUAUGUCUGUGUCUUCAUGUAUUGUGAUAGUGAUGUAAAUAAAAGAUUGAUGCAUCAUUAUGCUAUCAUUCUUGCUUCUGGAUUUUUCAU